AGGGAAAAGCUCAAAUUUAAAAUCUGGCAGCUUCGCUGUCCGAGUUGUAAUUUAGAGAAGUGUUGCCCGCGCUGGACCGUGUACAAGUCUCCUGGAAUGGAGCGUCAUAGAGGGUGAGAAUCCCGUCUUUGACACGGACUACCAGUGCAUUGUGGUGCGCUCUCAAA
rnacentral:rRNA from 1 species